rnacentral:rRNA from 1 species
UUCUAUCUUCUAGGUAUGAAAUAGGUUAUUUUAGUACGAAAGGAUUGAAUAAUCAAAAAAUUUUUAAUAU